UACGUAGGUGGCAAGCGAUACUCGGAAUCACUAGGCGUAAAGCGCAGGUAGGCGGUUCGGUAAGUCUCUUGUGAAAGCUCCCGGCUCAACUGGGAGAGGUCAAGGGAAACUACCGGGCUAGAAAGUGGCAGAGGAAACUGGAAUUCCCGGUGUAGCGGUGAAAUGCGUAGAUAUAGGGAAGAACACCAAUAAGGCGAAGGCAGUUAACUAUUCUAUUCCUGACAUUGAGGCAUGAAAGCGUGGGGAGCAAAACGG
rnacentral:rRNA from 1 species